CAUGAGUUCGUUCCAAACUAAUUUCUCUGAUUCUAGAAGGGGUGUUGUUAAUUAUCCUGUGCCGUUGUGCAAUGUAAAUCACCUUGGUUCUUCUUAGCCUUUUACUCCUUGUGACCGGUAGAGAUUAGUGCCGUCACAGGUUUUAGCUUAGUGGGAUAUGCUACAAGGAUGCUAGGACUUCCGUUGUUGCUGUUGUUGGCCGUUUGGGCCGAGGACUUGGUUAGAUGAUUGACGUAGAGCUUUAUUUUCCGGAUGUAUGUUGUCUCUGGGGAAAAAUUAUGCAAAAGGAUAGUACCCCAAUUAUCGAUUACCGAAGCAGGUUUGUUGAUGAACUCUCAGUGCAUGCGUUAGAACGUGAAAACUUUGCAAAUAAACUAACCUGAUUUUCUUCUGCAUCUUUCACAAGAUGCUUCAAAGCCAAGGCAGGGAUUGCAGUUGGUAGGUGUACGCACUUGCAUCCCUAGUAAUUGCAUGGUUCCACAUGGUCUUCCUGCGAUAUCUUUUGGUCUAUAAAGGAACGGCCCAAUGAGCAGAAGCGCUUGAGGAGACUACUGGUUUUCGUUCGUAGAGGGUGACACAAGAGCAAAGGCCUGCAUCGCCUAUUACAAGAUUGUGAGGCAUUAGGAAUAUGGAGCUUUGGGGUCGCCCUGCCCACACCCCAUACCCCUUUGUUGCGCUCUGCUGCUAUGGCCGAGGCUACUAAAACUGCACGACUUUCUCUUGCAUCGACCAGGGAAGUCGAAUCCAGGAGCACUCUUGUAAACUGUAGUGCUUGAGCAGUUGUCUGACACUUCUUUGUAGCCUAUAGUACCUGUGCUGUAGAGAAUGUUCCGUUGCACCUUUAUGCGACUCUCUAAGACCUCAUGUCAUUGUUGUGCAUACUCUAAGCCCCAUUUCCAGUGUUGUGAACUUGUGAUAUAAAUAUACCAUCAUGUUAACUGUUAAGCAUGUGUGUUAUAAUGUCUCACAAGAGAUCACAUAGCGCAUUGGUGUAGAGUGGGCGUUUUGGAGCUCGGCCUCCAUGAAGGAUGAAAUUUUUGAAAAAUUUAAAAUCCAAACUUCUCAGUUCUAAAAGAAUCUGAAAAAAUUAUACAAGUAUACAAGGAUGUGAGGUGUAUGUGUGUAAAAUUUCAUGAUAAAAUAACUUGAAAUGCGGUGAAAAAAACCACAUUCAUGAACUUUGAGGAU
rnacentral:lncRNA from 1 species